AACGCGAAGAACCUUACCUGGGCUAGAAAAUGCAGGAGCCUGGUCGAAAGAUCGGGGUGCUCUUCGGAGAACCUGUAGUUAGGUGCUGCAUGGCUGUCGUCAGCUCGUGUCGUGAGAUGUUGGGUUAAGUCCCGCAACGAGCGCAACCCUUAUUCGUAGUUGCCACCCGCAAGGGGGAACUCUACGAGGACUGCUCCGGAUAACGGAGAGGAAGGUGGGGAUGACGUCAAGUCAGCACGGCCUUUAUGUCCAGGGCUACACACGUGUUACAAUGCACGGUACAGACUGUUGCGAACCCGCGAGGGGGAGCUAAUCGGAUAAAACCGUGCUCAGUUCGGAUUGCAGUCUGCAACUCGACUGCAUGAAGCUGGAAUCGCUAGUAAUGGCGUAUCAGAUCGACGCCGUGAAUACGUUCCCGGGCCUUGUACACACCGCGCAUA
rnacentral:rRNA from 1 species